rnacentral:lncRNA from 1 species
AAACCAGGGGAAGCAAGCCAGUAAAGAACAUCCCUCCAUGGCUUCUGCAUCAGCUCCUGCUUCCUGACCUGCUUGAGUCCCAGUCCUGACUUCCUUUGGUGAUGAACAGCAACAUGGAAGUGCCUUUUGAGAAGGUGAAUCAGCGUGUGUUAGCUCAGGGCAGAGGGCCUGGCGGUGAGACGUGAGAACAGCCAAUGUCAUGGCGGUGGGGGAGUGGACGUGAGCCAUCUGGGGCCCAGCAAACAGCAUGUUGAAAAAAACGAGGAACUCAAAGGCAGAUGAGCCUACCACGCUGGGAACAGUUGGGAGUACAUUGCUCAAGCCCCGGCCAGUUUUAUGUCACUGCUGGUGUGAAGCAGUGAACAGUGACCCAGCAUGCAUCCAGGUGGCGGGACAGAGUCAGACUCUCCAGGGCAGAGAGACUCUAAAACUGACGGCCAGGUCUUGCUCAGACUACGGGCCUGAGGGAAGAUCCAAGACUGAAACAGGUGCCGGAGAUUACAUCCAGGUUGCUGGUCUUGGUGGUGAACAAUACCCUUGCUUACCCCCAAGCCUUCUCACUAACCCUGACGCUCUUUAUACAGGGCUUGGAAUGGAGGGGGUGGAGUUGAGGAGAUCACAGAGGACCUAGGAGUGUGUGUAUCGGAGAGAGAUAGGAAACCACUGACCGUUCAGCACACAUUCAGAAUUACUGCCUGUCCCAGGGAGGGACCCACAGCUCCGGCGCUCCGUUCAGCAUCUGGAAGAGCAUAGCUCGCUGUGAGCGGCCGCCCCAGAAGACUGUAUCCCACCCAGCCAGCUCUCCUGCCUGCUUGCCUCUGCCCCACACCAGGACACUUCAUACUGUCAGAACCACUGGGUGUGUGAGCUUGUGAGAGGGUGUGUGGGCACACAUGUCCCUGUGUGGGGUGUGGAGGUCAGAGGGCAACUUGGAGGAAUUGGUUCUCUCCUUCCACCACUGGGGCCCAGGAAUCAAGCCGAGGUUCCCAGACGUGGUAGCAGCCUCCCUUACCUGUUAAACCAGUGCUUCCCAGACUUCCUAAUGCUGUGACCUCAUGCUGUGCUGACCCCCGCCCAUGACAUUAUCUCUGUUGGUAUUUUAUAACUGUAAUUUUGCUACUAUUAUGAAUCACAAU